GUGUUUGUGUUUUUUUUUCUUCGUUUUUCCGAAAAAAUUCAGACAAAUGUCCAAUAUGGAGGGUGUUUCUUUGGAAGAAUAUGUAAAACGCCGAGGAGGAUCCCAACAAGCCCAAACCCGCCGGCGCGCCCACCUCCCACCGGAAGGAAGGGAGAACGGGGCGCGCCGGGAGGAGAGCGAGCGAGAGACCCUCCUGCGACUCCAACAGUGCACACGGGGUGGAGAGGUAACACGGAUUGGUGAUGAUCCAUCAGCAGGUUCACCUACAGAUA
rnacentral:misc_RNA from 1 species